AACAUGAAGAAUUCAGAACACAUAAUUUAACAUAAACAAUAACAUAAAUGAUUUUAUACAAUAUAAUUGAACACAUUAGUCGGUCUAUCUUGUAUCAUUUAUCAUUGUAGCCUUAUUUAAGUUGAAUUUCUGUUCACUGUAUAUUUAUUUUUGCCUGACAGUCAGCCUGCCCUGGACCAGAUUAGUUUCACAGCAUUUUAACUAUUUUAAGUUUGCUUUAUGAAACAGAAUCCACUGACAAUAAGUCUGACCAACCAAAAUAAGCCUGGCUUGUAUUCUAAUCUUGUUUUAUGAAACAGAUCUAUACAGGUGGAGCUGGGGAAGGUGGAGGGUUUUAGAGGAACUCUGAAGCGCUCCACAAACUGUGUGAUUAAUUUGUGUUCACGUUGCUCAAAUAUCAUGUUUAGCAAGCUAUAGAAAAAAAUGGUGUAAAGCAGAUUUUGUGAGCAGUGCAGAGGUGUAAUGACAAUUUACAAUAAAAUGUAUAAGUUUGUUUCCAAACAAACCAAACACAUGGGUGACCCCUUGAACUUUGUAAAUAGAUUAUCCGUUUACCAUCCUGACUGGAUGGUGAAAACACAAUUUUUAUUUUUGAUAAUUUUAGUAAACUUUCACAUUAGCGUGCACAUCUAACGCUGUUAUUAAUACGGGGAUCAGCUGGAAAUAACGACCUCUCCUGGAUUGAUUUAGUAUUAACAUUAUAUUUACAUUAAUUUCUUUUCAGAUGCUUUAAAAUUGCUCACCCAAGUGAUCCAGCGGGCAUAUUAUGAUUAUUUUUACUUGUAAAUCACAUUUGUUUGCAUUUUAAUGCUGGUAUAAAUGGUUUCUACACCCAGACAGUUUUGCCUUUUAGACAGAAUCUCACACUCUUUCAUUAGUAGUUCUUAACAUUUUCAGUACAUCAUUGGACAAUGUAUUUAAAUAUGUAUUUCACCAAGAAAUCAACUCUGAACUCCUCUAAUAUCUAUUUUAAAUUUUCUGUACACUUUUGUGAUUGAAAACACCAGCAGCGUGUGAGCAGGACUUUUAUUUUGAUCUGCUGGUGUGACGUCAUAAGGCUGCGUCGUGCUCGUGCAUCUGUUAUGAUUUGGCUGAAGAAAGUAAAACUCCUGGUGAAGCGACUGAGAUCCACUUGACACUAUUAUGAAGAUGGCGAUUAUUAAAGAGGAGAGUGAAGAUGUGACGAUUGAAGAAAAAUUCAGAGUGAAACAUGAAGAAACUGAGGAACAAACAGACCUGAUGGCACUGAUAGAGGAGGAUCAAGAACUGAAAGAAAUAGAAGAGAAAGAACAAUAUAAGAGACAUGAUUUCAUGGAUGUAGAGAAAUCCAUUCAGACUGAAACAACUUCUUCGCGGAAGAAAAAUCAGAAAACCGAGUCUACCUGCUCUCAAUGUGGAAAAAGUUUCACUCAAAAACAUAACUUUAAAAUCCACAUGAGAAUUCACACUGAAGAGAAGCCUUAUCAAUGCCAACAGUGUGGAAUGAGUUUCAAACAGAAAACAAACCUUAAU